CAUCACCCUCUGACAUCACCCUCUGACAUCACCCGCGCUGCUCUGACAUCACCCUCUGACAUCACCCGCGCUGCUCUGACAUCACCCUCUGACAUCACCCUCUGACAUCACCCUCUGACAUCACCCGCGCUGCUCUGACAUCACCCUCUGACAUCACCCGCGCUGCUCUGACAUCACCCUCUGAGGCUGCUGCUUCUUGUGAACAGCUGCAGCUCGUGAGCUUCAGUGAUCGACACUGACUUCUGUCCUCGCGGCCACGCUGCACCUGGUCGGCUCUCAGCUGUUCUGGGCUCACUGAGCUUCUGAGGCUCUAAACGCUGCCAACACACCGCAGAGCUGAACCUGAAGACUUGCAGAGUCGGUGAGUCGACAACAUGUACACCUGGAGACGGGUGUCCUGGCAGGUUCGGAAGCUACAAAAGGAAUCAAACCUGAGGACAUGAAUAUUUCAGUGGUAAUAAAAACCAUACUCUCAUUUAAAGGACUGAAACAUGUCAAACACACCUGCGUGGUGACCUCACACCUCUACACUUCCUGCAAAGCCUCACUCUGACAACCUGCAACUCACCUGCAUAAGCCCCACCCACCUCGUCAUGCUCUGCAUCCUGACCUCAGACCAGACCGGGUCAGGCCAGACCAGGGGUCUCCUUUAUAAACGUGCGUACGCCUCCUCGAAUGCUUGCGUGAAUAAAUGUUUAAACUCAGAGGAAGUCAUUUGGUUUCCUGUCUUUACAAAGGGAUCAGUACCUGGGUCGUCCCGCCUCCAGCCAGCGACGUCACUGCUCAGAGGGAGGCCCCUUCCUGCAGAUCGGUUAUAAAGGGGCGGGGCUCCGGGGCCCCUUUCCUCUGGUGCACAAAUAGCUUCAGCUUCACCAAAAGGAGCGUCAGCGUCACUGAGUUAGAUUCAGAGUCUGCCUGCAGUCAGGACGCAUUAAUAUUAACGAGCUUCACUGAGCGUUUACAGGCAGCUGUGGGCGUUUGGAGGGCCGGACGUGGCGCUCCCUCACAGGGGCCACAUUUCACACUGACUGUGAUUUAUAAAGGGGAAUCUGCGCAGGACGUCUUUCCUUCGUACAGUUUUAUAAAUGAGACCCCAGACCAGGUCUCUGUGAAGCCCGACCCUCGCUCCCAGCUCAGAGUUGGGAUGCAGAAUAGUGCUAUUGCUAAGCUAACAGCUAACUAUGACACUAGAAGCCAUGCAGUGUGAUGUUGCCUUCUCAUGAUCCUCCUGGAGUUAUUACUCAGCCGCUCCACUCUCUCCUGUCUGACUCUCUCUAACACUUCAUCCCCCAGAAUCCUCAGCUGUUCCUCAUUAGGCGGCCAACAACAGUUACCAUGGGGACCACAGUACAGCAAUGCAUGAUGGGGGCUUUUUACUACCUUCAUGUUUGUGACAGAUCACACUGGCAUUCAGGGGAGCAGAGGUGAGAAAUCGUUAGGCAAGUCUACAAAGAGAGAUAGACGGGCAUUUAUUACGUGUGAAGGACGCCAUCAUCAUCAUCAUCAUCACCAUCGUCGUCAUCAUCAGCCCGACUCUACUGCUCAGAGGCUUCUCCUUCUCUCAGGACACAAACACGAGUACCUGAACGCAGCACCGGCCCAGGAGGCACCAAGGCGUGACCACGCAGGAGCCAAUCAGAGCGCAGGACCACAGGAUUUACUCUUUCCGUUACUUCCUGUCUGAACGAGGAGGUGACAGGAAGUCCAACUCCCAGCCGUGGCUGUUUUGAGUGGAAGUGAAUGAGCGAGGUCAUAAAGCGCCCCCUAGCUGAGAUUCCUCACAAUCCACAACGGAGCGAAAUGGAUCUCGAAGCGUUUGGUUCUUAUUGGACCGGGUCACUUCCUGCUCUGACCUGGAUCUGACGUUAACGUCUUUACUGAUCUUCACGUGUCGGCCAACAAGAGACUUCCGCGAAAGAUGCACUCGUGAUUCCUCGCUUACAGCUCCUCAGAGUCUUUCUGUUAGACGGCCGAGACUUCACCUUACCCGAGUUUACCUGAGCCUACCUGAGCCUCCUUAAACCUACCUGAGCCUACCUGAGUUUACCUAAAGCUACCUGAGCCUACCUGAGUUUACCUGAGCCUACCUGAGUUUACCUAAACCUACCUGAGCCUACCUGAGUUUACCUAAAGCUACCUGAGCCUACCUGAGUUUACCUGAGCCUACCUGAGUUUACCUAAACCUACCUGAGCCUCCUUAAACCUACCUGAGCCUACCUGAGUUUACCUAAAGCUACCUGAGUUUACCUAAAGCUACCUGAGUUUACCUAAAGCUACCUGAGCCUACCUGAGUUUACCUAAACCUACCUGAGCCUCCUUAAACCUACCUGAGCCUACCUGAGUUUACCUAGAGCUACCUGAGUUUACCUAAACCUACCUGAGCCUCCUUAAACCCACCUGAGCCUACCUGAGUUUACCUAGAGCUACCUGAGUUUACCUAGAGCUACCUGAGUUUACCUAGAGCUACCUGAGUUUACCUAAACCUACCUGAGCCUCCUUAAACCUACCUGAGGCUACCUGAGUUUACCUAAACCUACCUGAGUUUACCUAAACCUACCUGAGUUUACCUAAACCUACCUGAGUUUACCUAAACCUACCUGAGUUUACCUAAAGCUACCUGAGUUUACCUAAAGCUACCUGAGUUUACCUAAAGCUACCUGAGUUUACCUAAAGCUACCUGAGUUUACCUAAACCUACCUGAGUUUACCUAAACCUACCUGAGUUUACCUAAACCUACCUGAGUUUACCUAAACCUACCUGAGCUUGUGAAUCUUGUGUUAUCCUGGAAGCACAACAGUCAAGCCUUAAAUGUGAGACAGAGAGACCCUGCGGUCCGCAGCGCGGCCUGAGAUGGUCUACGGGUGUCCUGGUUUUACAUUAACGCGGGUCUGAUUCAGAACCAGGAUCUGUGAGGAGCAGUAGAGUCCGGCUGAGAGGCUGCAACACAGAGGACAGAGGACUCUCACCUUCCUGUACGGAGCCUCCAGCAUCGCCUCGAUGUCAAGGUCAUCUGCCAUCCUGCUGCUGCUGCUCUGUACACACAGUGAAACCAUCAACCUGAACACCUGUCGGGAUCUUUCAGACAGGUGUGUCUCAGUAAGGAUCAGGAUCACCUGUGAGCCGAGUUACAAAUUAAAGCAGCAUCACAUGUUCAAAAUACAAUUAUUUCUAUAGAUACACAAAAGCAGAAUUUAAAAAUCCAGGAUAAAAGAUAAAGCGAGGCUUGACCUGGUGUGAUCAGCGCAUCCUGGCUUUAUCCGUUUCACGAAGGCCAAACCAGCUCAGGACUCUUUCCAGCCAGGUGGAAGUAAUUCAGAUAAAUGGGCGUCAGCGGCUUUCUUCAAGAGCCCACACGGUCGAUCACAGAUUCAUUGAUGCUGAAAGACGUGUGCCGCCCGCUUUACACGCAGUGAGUAACGGUGAAUAAAAAGGUUCACCAUGAAAAAGUGCACAUUAUAUCAUAGAAAAGGAGAAGAAACACGGCUGCAGUAUUAAAACAGGGAGACAGAACGUGGCAGACAACAGAGGGCCGACUGAAUGAUUUCUGGAGGGAUGGUGUUCGUCCCAGACACGUGCAGCCCCGGAGAGGUUCUGCAGACUCGUGGUGUUCUGAUCCAGACCCUUCUUGCUGCUCUCUCCUGUAACCAUCUGCAGAGACGCGUCUGGAUCGCAGCGGUUUAAAACUACAGGAAGUCAGCUACUGCAGUUCUGCUCGGUCAGGUUGGACCCAGACCUGCUUAUUGAUCCGUCCUCUUCCAGAAGAAGUCCAGACACCAGAGAGAGACGCUGCAGAACCUCCUGAGAACCUUCAUGUUUUUCCUUCGUUUACAUCAGAGAAUGCUGAAUGUAACGUGUCUGUAUGAUGUUUGAUGCAGAGGAUCAAUAAAGUUUUCUUAAUUCAAAUAGUUA